rnacentral:rRNA from 1 species
AAUGAACGUUGGCGGCGUGGAUUAGGCAUGCAAGUCGAGCGAGAAGGAUCCGGUGCUUGCACUGGAUCUGGACAGCGGCGAAAGGGAGAGUAACGCGUAGGGUAUCUGCCCCCAGGCCUGGGAUAGCGGCGGGAAACUGCCGGUAAUACCGGAUAAUGUCUCCGGACCAAAGGUGAGAUUCCGCCUGGGGAUGGCCCUGCGUCCUAUUAGCUUGUUGGUGAGGUAAUGGCUCACCAAGGCAAAGAUGGGUAGCGGGCGUGAGAGCGUCGGCCCGUCUCACGUGGGACUGAGACACUGCCCAGACGCCGUACGGGUGGCUGCAGUCGAGAAUCUUCCGCAAUGACGAAAGUCUGACGGAGCGACGCCGCGUGCGGGAUGAAGGCCUUCGGGUUAGUAAACCGCUGUCAGUGGGGUGGAAAUCUUUUGAGGGCUAUCCCUCUUAGUUGACCUAACCGCAGAGGAAGUCCGGGCUAAGUACGUG